UAUGUAUGUAUGCAUGUAUGUGUGCAUGUGUGUGUGCAUGUGUGUAUGCGUAUAUAUCUGUAU
ensembl:miRNA